rnacentral:rRNA from 1 species
UACGUAGGGACCGAGCGUUGUCCGGAUUCAUUGGGCGUAAAGAGCUCGUAGGCGGCUGUUCAAGUCGAACGUGAAAACUCGGAGCUCAACUCCGAGCCUGCGUUCGAUACUGGACGGCUAGAGUCUGGUAGGGGGAUCUGGAAUUCCUGGUGUAGCGGUGGAAUGCGCAGAUAUCAGGAGGAACACCGGUGGCGAAGGCGGCUCUCUGGAACGGUACUGACGCUGAGACGCGAAGCGUGGGGGGAGCGAACAGG